AUCUGUGACAGCUUGUCCUAAGGAUGAUCUCACUUGGUUGAACAACGGCAUUAAGUUACUGUGUCCCAAUGAUACACUAGGGAGGAACCUGUACCAGUGUGUACCUAAUAAUGACAGAUUUUCACUUGUGGAGUUUUGUCUUCAAGGGAGUAUUGGCAGAUUUGGAGCAGAUACUUGCCCUUUUGCUAUAUCUUCGGGACACCUAGAUGCCAUCAACUGCACCACUUUUCUCAACGGUUGUCCGAAAGAACCUUAUCUUACCAAUGAAGUUUACAGAUAUCCAGCCUGCUUGGACAUAAAUCCACAGAAACACUGUUAUUUGGCAAAUGAAAGCUGUUUAGACAAAACGAGUCAGGAGAUACCAAAAUCAACAACUUUUAUUCAACCCACUGACUCAUAUACCCUGUCCACAGGCAGCUCCAAUCUUACCUCUGUGUUACCAAACAGUACUUUCAAUUUGCAGCCCGGGAUUGAGACCGUACCUAUAAUUGCUGGCGUAGUCUCCUUGUUGAUCGCACUAGUGGUUAUUUUCGUGAUUUUCCUUUCUUUUUAUUCGAAAAA